UGGCGGCAGGCCUAACACAUGCAAGUCGAGCGGUAGAGAGAAGCUUGCUUCUCUUGAGAGCGGCGGACGGGUGAGUAAUGCCUAGGAAUCUGCCUGGUAGUGGGGGAUAACGUUCGGAAACGGACGCUAAUACCGCAUACGUCCUACGGGAGAAAGCAGGGGACCUUCGGGCCUUGCGCUAUCAGAUGAGCCUAGGUCGGAUUAGCUAGUUGGUGGGGUAAUGGCUCACCAAGGCGACGAUCCGUAACUGGUCUGAGAGGAUGAUCAGUCACACUGGAACUGAGACACGGUCCAGACUCCUACGGGAGGCAGCAGUGGGGAAUAUUGGACAAUGGGCGAAAGCCUGAUCCAGCCAUGCCGCGUGUGUGAAGAAGGUCUUCGGAUUGUAAAGCACUUUAAGUUGGGAGGAAGGGUUGUAGAUUAAUACUCUGCAAUUUUUACGUUACCGGCAGAAUAAGCACCGGAUAACUCUGUGCCAGCAGCCGCGGUAAUACAGAGGGUGCAAGCGUUAAUCGGAAUUACUGGGCGUAAAGCGCGCGUAGGUGGUUUGUUAAGUUGGAUGUGAAAUCCCCGGGCUCAACCUGGGAACUGCAUUCAAAACUGACUGACUAGAGUAUGGUAGAGGGUGGUGGAAUUUCCUGUGUAGCGGUGAAAUGCGUAGAUAUAGGAAGGAACACCAGUGGCGAAGGCGACCACCUGGACUGAUACUGACACUGAGGUGCGAAAGCGUGGGGAGCAAACAGGAUUAGAUACCCUGGUAGUCCACGCCGUAAACGAUGUCAACUAGCCGUUGGGAGCCUUGAGCUCUUAGUGGCGCAGCUAACGCAUUAAGUUGACCG
rnacentral:rRNA from 1 species